AUAAAAACAAAAACAAAAACAAAAAUUCACUAUUAAGUAAAUGUUUAUAUUUAAAUAAACAAAUAUCUGUAAAAUUUUUAAAUCAUAGUAAAUAUUUACUAUUUAUUAUGUACCAUAUACAUAUACUUAUGUCUGUUAAUGCAUUUAAUCUUCAGGCCAGCCUCUAUAAUGAGUAUUAUUUCUACUUUACAGUUUGGAAAAUGAUGCACGAAAAAGUUAAAAUCACACAACCAGUAGUUGAUAGAGUUGAGAAAAGAACAUAGAUUCUAGGGGCUGGAGAGACGGCUCAGCAGUUAAGAGCACUGGCUUCUCUUCCAGAGAACCCAAGUUCAAUUCCCAGCACCCACAUGGCAGCUCACAACUGUCUGUAACUCCAGUUCCAGGGGACCUGACACCCUCACACAGACACAUGCAGGCAAAACACCAAUGCACAUGAAAUACAAUUUUUUUUAAAAAAAAAAAAAAUGAACUCAGAUUCUAAUCCAGGUGUGGUAUGUAAUCCCAGAACUCAGGACUGCCAUGAGUUUGAAGCCAGGCUGGAUUUCUAUGCGAUACUCUGUCUCAAAGAAUCCAGGCUAUGAACCCUGUACUUAGAGGUCUGUUUACAUUCUCAGUAAUCCUGAAUGUAUUAAUUAAACAAUAAGUAAACUCUAGCUUUCUGAUUUAGCCUCAUCCUUUUCUUUAAAAGUUCUCUUGCUCGGAACUUGGGAGAAAGAAUGAUCACCUGUGCUCUUUCAAGAAUCCAGUUUUUUUGCUCUUCUUAGUCAGAAGAAGUAGAUAAUUAAGAAAAUGAGCAAAUUCUCCCUACUCAUUUCUGAGCACUGUUCCCUGUACUGCAAAGUUACCCACUAGGUGUAUGCCAAUUCCUUGUAUAUACAUCUCCAUUAUAAACUUGGAUUUUUUUGGCAAAAUGUAUUUAAAAUAUGUCCUUAUUUUUAAAGUAUUAAUAAUAUUCCAAGGACUUUACCUAUAAAAUGAUAGGUGUGACUAAAAUGUUUACUUCUUAGUUUAUCAUAUAUAAUUAGGUCUCAAAUAUCUUAGGAGAUUUUUGGUAGACUAUGCCCAGUAUUGAAUAAUUAGAGGAAAUUACCUCCAGAUAUGAAAUUAGAGGAAUAUUUUGUCACUUGGCAGUAUUCAUUUACUGUUAAGACUUUAUGAGAUGCACUAUUAGCACACAAUUGAAGGUUUUAAUUUAAAUGUUCAUAUUACAUAGAGACAGAAAUAUAAUUCUGUUCAUUCUGAUUUGUUAUAGGAUACCCAAAUCAAAAGUAUUAUUUCAGAGACCAGUAACAAAAUUGACACUGAAAUUGCUUCCUUAAAAACACUGAUGGAGUCGAACAAACUCGAGACCGUUCGCUAUCUGGCAGCCUCGGUGUUCACUUGCUUGGCAAUAGCUUUGGGGUUUUAUAGAUUCUGGAAGUAAAACUGACACCCCUGCUGUUGCUGCUCAUCACUCCUUAGAGUGUACUACUACAAAUUCUUCAAAGUGCCUGUGGACUAAAUAGCAGUAUUUCGGUAUUUUAUUUUUGUGUUGUAUGAUGUUAUUGUAUUGAAAAGCUGUCUCCCAAAGCCUGGUUUGAGAUAGAAGAGCAUUUUGUCCUCUUGGUAACUACAGCAACAGAAACAGUUUUUACAUUUGAGCUUUGUAGCUUUGCAAAUGAAGUAGGAUUUGUUAUCAGAUUGCAUACUUGAAAACAAUUCUAUAUUCUACAUUCUUACUGGAUUUUAUGUCCCUGCUGAUUAUUGCAGUUAGAUUUUUUUAUAUAAAAUAAAAGACUACAAUGAAGUUGGUUGGAUUUUCUAAGUAA